AUCCCAUGAUGGGGACAUUUCCUCUGCAACUCCUUGAAUAUCUCCCAUGCAUCAUACAGAGAGUCCUCAUCAAUCUGAUAAAAAUGAUUUAUUUCACCCCUUAAUUU